AACGGGUGAGUAAUGCGUGACCAACCUGCCCCAUGCUCCAGAAUAGCUCUUGGAAACGGGUGGUAAUGCUGGAUGCUCCAACUUGACGCAUGUCUUGUUGGGAAAGUGUUUAGUGGCAUGGGAUGGGGUCGCGUCCUAUCAGCUUGUAGGCGGGGUAAUGGCCCACCUAGGCUUCGACGGGUAGCCGGCCUGAGAGGGCGGACGGCCACAUUGGGACUGAGAUACGGCCCAGACUCCUACGGGAGGCAGCAGUUC
rnacentral:rRNA from 1 species